GAACAUUUCUCAUAGGUAUAUACGUAAUUACUGGACAAAAACACUAACAUAAACAAUGUAAAAAUCCAUAAAAUAUAUAUAACGCUUUCCUGAACGUCUUUAGGUAGUUUGGAGAAAAACAUCAGUAGGUUAACACCUAGAAAGGUGGAAUAACCCCCCCACCCCAACCUCUCCCGACCCGCAUUUACAUGAUUUUUUCCUUUCUUAUUUCUAUACAGUUUAAAUAUGAACACCAUAGGACAUACACUCCUCAAAUAGCUUUCCCUCCCGCCUCGUGUGUGUACGCACGUUAAUUGAAGGUAUAAUACACACAACACGUUUACAAAUAAGUAGAAAAAAGGAUGGUCGAGUCCUUAAGCUUCAAAAUAAGUGCCUGACAGACAGGAAGUACAUUUGACAAAAAUAAAAACUAGAAUAAGAAGUGAGGUGGUGUUCUCGAAAUGCAACAAAACAUGGGGCGUGUUACUAAUUGACGUAUACUGCAAAAUACAACACCACCCCCUCUCACAUUUUAAGCUUGUGUUUCUCUUUUUUAUGUUUCUAAUUUGUAGAUGUUUUUUUCCAACAGUCACGUGGUUGCUUCACGAGUCUCUUACGAAUGAUUUCCCAAUGUUGAGACCACACAAAGCGUUGGAAACAUUUCACGAGGGAUCCAAAAAGGAUUCCUCUCCCCGUCCUCCUGUCCUGUAAAAGUUUCACCACUGCUCAGGACGCUCCGCUUCCUCUCCACUUUGUGGGAACGGGAAGCAGCAGCAUUGUGUUGGAGCUGCCUGUGGUUUAAUCAUUAAUGAGCACAGUCGGGGCAGGACAGGCAUCUCUCCAGCCUGGGACUCACAGGACGGUGUGUUGCAGUCAGGAGGAGCGGAGUGGCACGCGGUACCGAGCGGCGGAGAGGAGGGCGGACUCGGGGUCUGAGACUGGACGCUGUGUCCCAAACAUCCCGUCCGAUGGGACGGUGAGACGGAGAGAAAGAUAGUGGAUGAAAGACAGAUAGACAGACAGAUAGACAGACAGACAGACAGACAGACAGACAGACAGACAGACAGACAGACAGACAGACAGACAGACAGACAGACAGACAGACAGACAUACGUGGCCAACUCAAAGGGACCGAGUCACCUUCUCUGACGCAUACUGUCAAUGCGCUCUGCUUUUCGUCCCUUUCCGUAGGCCUCCAUGACAACAGAAGGCACAUGUCGCUUUACAGUUGGCCCUUUCUUACCCUUGUUUUAUGGCCUUUUUCGGAAAAGCGUACGUUUGUAACGACCAUUAUGAAGUAAGUCGACGAAGAUGUUGCUUUAUAGGACUGAGAUCGA